rnacentral:rRNA from 1 species
AGCUCCAAUAGCGUAUAUUAAAGUUGUUGCAGUUAAAAAGCUCGUAGUUGGAUUUCUGCUGAGGAUCGACGUCCACCUUCUGGUCGGUACGGAAGUCCUGAGCAUCUUUCUGGAGAACGUAUCUGCACUUGAUUGUGUGGUGCGGUAUCCAGGACCUUUACUUUGAAGAAAUUAGAGUGUUUCAAGCAGGCAUGCGCCUUGAAUACCUCAGCAUGGAAUAAUAACAUAGGACUUUAGUUCUAUCUUAUUGGUUCAUAGGACUGAAGUAAUGAUUAAUAGGGAUAGUUGGGGGCAUUCGUAUUUAACUGUCAGAGGUGAAAUUCUUGGAUUUGUUAAAGACGAACUACUGCGAAAGCAUUUGCCAAGGAUGUUUUCA